rnacentral:lncRNA from 1 species
AUGGACAGGACUGAGAUUGGGGUCAGGAAACAGAAUGGGAUUGGACUGGGAUGGGAUUGGGAUUGGACUGGGAUGGACAGGACUGGGAUGGGAUUGGGGUCAGGAAAGGAACUGGGCAGGAGUUCAGUCCUGGACUGGAGCCAGAAGUGGGAGGGUUUUGGUCCCAAACUGGUGGGGACUGGAGCCGGGAUUGUUGGGAUUUCACCCCAAACUGGAGCCGGGAUUGUUGGGAUUUUACCCCAAACUGGUGGGGGUUGGGGCCACAACUGCUGGGAUUUCACCCCAAAAUCGCCGGAGUUUGGAGACGCCAAAAUCGCUGGGAAUUGGAGCAAAAAUCAUCAGGAAUUGGAACCAAAAUCAUCAGGAACUGGACCGAAAAUGAGCAGGGAUCACCCCCAAACUGUUGGGGUUUCAGCCCAAUUUGAAGGGGUUCACACCCCAAAACUGUGGGGAUUUCAGCCCCAAAUCUCUGAGGUUUGGCCCCAAAACUGUCAGGGUUGGAACCCAAAACUAGGGAGAUUUCAGCCCCAAAUCUCUGAGGUUUGUCCCCAAAAUCCCCAACAUUUCAUCCCCAAAUUUCCAGGGAUUGGCCCCAAAACUGUGGGGAUUUCACCCCUAAAUCUCUGGGAUUUACCCCAAAAUCCCCAAAAUUUCAGCCCCAAAUCUCUGGGGUUUGUCCCCAAAACUGAGGGAAUUUCAGCCCUGAAUUUCCAGGGUUUGUCCCCAAAACUGUGGAGAUUUCACCCCCAGAUCUCCAGGAUUUGUCCCCAAAUCCUCCAAAAUUUCAUCCCCAAAUUUUCCAGGGUUUGUCCCCAAAACUGGGGAGAUUUCACCCCUAAAUCUGUCUGGUUUGCCCCCAAAAUUUCAGCCCCAAAUCUCUGGGAUUUGUCUCCAAAACUCUGGGCAUUUCACCCCCAAAUUUCCAGGGUUUGUCCCCAAAUCCCCCAAAAUUUCAGCCCCAAAUUCCUGAACUUUGGGGUCAGAACUUGUGCCCCGAACCCUCCGUGGGUUUCGCUCCCAAAAACGCCCAAAUUCCUCCCAAAUUCGGGGAGGAGUCAGGACCCAAAGUGCUGA